rnacentral:rRNA from 1 species
GAUGAACGCUGGCGGCGUGCCUAAUACAUGCAAGUCGAGCGAACGGACGAGAAGCUUGCUUCUCUGAUGUUAGCGGCGGACGGGUGAGUAACACGUGGAUAACCUACCUAUAAGACUGGGAUAACUUCGGGAAACCGGAGCUAAUACCGGAUGAUAUUUUGAACCGCAUGGUUCAAAAGUGAAAGACGGUCUUGCUGUCACUUAUAGAUUGAUCCGCGCUGCAUUAGCUAGUUGGUAAGGUAACGGCUUACCAAGGCAACGAUGCAUAGCCGACCUGAGAGGGUGAUCGGCCACACUGGAACUGAGACACGGUCCAGACUCCUACGGGAGGCAGCAGUAGGGAAUCUUCCGCAAUGGGCGAAAGCCUGGCGGAGCAACGCCGCGUGAGUGAUGAAGGUAUUCGGAUCGUAAAACUAUGUUAUUAGGGAAGAACAUAUGUGUAAGUAACUGUGCACAUCUUGACGGUACCUAAUCAGAAAGCCACGGCUAACUACGUG